rnacentral:lncRNA from 1 species
UAAGGGCCAAGUUUCAAGGUUGCUGCAAAAGGAUCAUAAGUAACGUGAUCUGCGAAAUGAAUACAAGGCCAUGCAACUUGAUAUCACUCUCAAGUACCUUCUGACUGCUUUCGACAGAGAAAAGAAAACCCAGUGUGCAACAUGCAAGUUGAGUUUUCGACUUUCGAAAUGGAGGUUCCCUAGAUAGCAUGGAAGUUUGGUGUCUCCAAAAGGAACAAAAUGCAGGUCGCCGCCCCAAUGGAAUAAUACGGUCAUUCUCUACCACUGGCAAUCGCAGAAUUGCUACCGGAAACAAAUAAUCAGAAUCAGUUGGAGGUGUAGUGAAAGCCAUAUCAGAGGUUUCUAUAAAAAAUUAUUUACACUUGUUCUACCUUCUCAUCAAAGAAUACUCCACACUCAAAACUUAAGUUUCUCCAAAGGGAAGACAAGAGAUGGAUUGAUUAAACGCAAAAUUGACAAGAGAGUAAUUCUGUUUUCUAAAAGUGGUAUUUAAAUUAUAAUUUUUAAAGUUCACUGCAUGGUUUUUUUUUUCAUAUCAAUACUUCGUAUAAAGGUUAUUAUGUGAACAAUAAUGUCCUUAUCUAUCCUAAAUUAAAAUUUUUGUUGCUCUCUAAUUUUGAUAUAAUCAAUUAAUAUGUUUU